rnacentral:rRNA from 1 species
UACAGAGGUGGCAAGCGUUGCUCGGAAUUACUGGGCGUAAAGGGCGCGUAGGCGGCCAUCUAAGUCAGACGUGAAAUCCCCCGGCUUAACCUGGGAACUGCGUCUGAUACUGGAAGGCUUGAGUAUGGGAGAGGGAUGUAGAAUUCCAGGUGUAGCGGUGAAAUGCGUAGAUAUCUGGAGGAAUACCGGUGGCGAAGGCGGCAUCCUGGACCAUUACUGACGCUGAGGCGCGAAAGCUAGGGGAGCAAACGGG